rnacentral:rRNA from 1 species
UACGAAGGGGGCUAGCGUUGUUCGGAAUUACUGGGCGUAAAGGGCGCGUAGGCGGCCUGCUAAGUCGGAUGUGAAAUCCCUCGGCUUAACCGAGGAACUGCAUCCGAUACUGGCGGGCUUGAAUCCGGGAGAGGGAUGUGGAAUUCCAGGUGUAGCGGUGAAAUUCGUAGAUAUCAAGCAGAACACCUGCGGCGAAGGCGGCCUUCUGGACGAUGACUGACGCUGAGACGCGAAAGCGUGGGGAGCAAACAGG